rnacentral:rRNA from 1 species
UGGGGAAUAUUGCACAAUGGGCGAAAGCCUGAUGCAGCCAUACCGCGUGGGUGAAGAAGGCCUUAGGGUUGUAAAGCCCUUUCAGUUGGGAAGAAAAGGUCAGGGAUAAUACCCCUGGUUCUUGACGGUACCUACAGAAGAAGCACCGGCUAACUCAGUGCCAGCAGCCGCGGUAAUACUGAGGGUGCAAGCGUUAAUCGGAAUUACUGGGCGUAAAGCGCGCGUAGGCGGUCUGGUCAGUCAGAUGUGAAAGCCCCGGGCUUAACCUGGGAACUGCAUUUGAAACUGCCAGACUAGAGUGUGGUAGAGGGAAGUGGAAUUCCGCGUGGAGCGGUGAAAUGCGUAGAGAUGCGGAGGAACACCAGUGGCGAAGGCGACUUCCUGGACCAACACUGACGCUCAGGUGCGAAAGCGUGGGGAGCAAACAGG